rnacentral:lncRNA from 1 species
UCCAGGCUAGGGGUUAAAUCAGAGCUAUUGCUGCUGGCCUACACCACAGCCACAGCAAUGCUGGAUCAGAGCCUCGUCUGUGACCUACACCACAGCUCAUGGCAACACCAGAUCCUUAACCCACUGGGCAAGGCCAGGGAUCGAACGCACUUCCUCAUGGAUACUACUUGGGUUCGUUAACCACUGAGCCACAAAGGGAACUCCCAUGAUCAAUCUUGACAUGUGUCUGUCUAUUUUAUUAGUUGCAUUAGUUUCCUACUGAUGCUGUAACAAAUUUCCAUAAAUCUUAUAGCUUAAAAUAAUACAAAUUUACUCUUACAGUUUUGAAAGUCAGUAGUAUGACUAGAGAUGGUGGCAUUCUUUGAUGCAUAAGUAGUCAGGGUUUUCCAGAGAAACAUAAAUGUAUGCAUAUAGAUAAUUAUAUUUACAUUAUAGUUCUAUGUAACAUACUAUAUAUAUAAUACCAUGUGUAUUAUAAUAUUUUAUCAGCUCAUGCAAUUAUGGAGGCUAAAAAGUUCUAAGAUCUGCAAUUGGUAAGCUAGAGACCCAAGUGGAGGGCAGAUCACAUAGUUCCACUCUGAGUCUGAGGUCUGAAGCCCUAAGAACCAGAAGGAGGAUCAAUAGUGUAAGGUUUAGUCUGAAAGUCAGCAGACUUAAGAAACAAGGGCUGAUUUUCAUUUCAAGUCCAAAGGCAGGAAAAGACAAUAUCCCAGUUCAAUCAUCAAGUUGACACAUAAACCUAAUCAUCAUCCUUGGCUUGUUCUAUACACAAAAGCUUGCAGCCCCUAAUCCUGCUUUUCAUUCCUCAAUUCAGAUUUUAUUUACUUCAAGAAGCCUCCCCUGACCAUUGGGCUAAGUGUCCCCCUCUGUGCUCCCAUUGCCCUACAUGUAUAAUUAAGCACCGAUUUUUUUUCAAUAUUGUAGUAUCUAUCCCUUGAUUACCUCUCCUAUAAAAUUUUAAGAUCUUCAAGGACAAGAAGCAGAUUUUAAUCAUCUUUGUUUUUCUUGUUCUAAGCACUCUCUCUUCCAUAUAGGCUCUCAGUAAAUAAUUAUUAAUAAAACAACCGAAUGAGGCUAAUGUUUUCAAAAAGCUUGCCUGACCAACUUUCCUCUUCUAGGUAAAUAAUAUUCAUUGCACUCAAGAAGUAACACCAAUCUGCCACAUUAAAUUUAGUGGAAGAUAAGACAAAUUUUCUACACCAUUGAGAAAAUACCAAAGGAAAUAAAACAGUAUUUAAUUUGCAGGUUUUAUUUACCAAGGCAACAGUGCUUAUUUAUCAAAGUCAUUUACGGGUCAUUCAAGUGAAAAGACAGUCUUUGAAUUUGGUUUUCGACUCUCAACAAAUGCUUAUGCCUUAAUUCUGUGAGGAUUUCAAUGUUGUAUGAAUACACAGGUGAGCCAUCACAGAGCCUACCUAUAUAGCAUCUGAGACAUUAUUAGGACAUAAUAAUGUUCAUAUCUUUGAAAUAAGAGGAAUCUAACAAAGUAUUAUAGACUCAGAGUUGGGGAAAAGAUAGAAAUCUUCUAGUCUAGCCCAGUUCUUACAUUUCUUCUCUAAGAUUUCAGGCAAGAAUUGAAGUUUUUGCUAGAAUAUCUGCAGUUAUAGAGGACUCAGGACCUCUAAUAUUUUAAAUACCAAUAUUAUUUCCUAUCAGGGAUAUGCUAGUCUGAUAAUGAAUUAAGUGAUUUAAUUAGAUAAAUAUAAUACAAGAAUGCAUUUUUGUAAAACUCAGCAACAUUUCUCUUUGUUCUAGAAAAAAAAGUCUUCCCUCAUCAUCUGAUUUUCUCGGUCUUAAGUGUGAUCACAAGUUAAGAGUCAUCAUAGCAUCCAAGCUUAUCUGGUAUAAAAGGCAAUACCCAAACUAUCGUGAAUAGUGCUGCAAUGAACAGGGUGCAUGUAUCUCUUUCAGAGAAAGUUUUGUCCAGAUAGAUGCCCAGGAGCAGGACUGCUGGAUCACAUGGCAGAUCUAUAUCUAGUUUUCUGAAGAACUCCAUACUGUUUUCCAUAGUGGUUGUACCAAUUUAUAUUCCUGCCAACAGGGUAGAGGGGUUCCCUUUUCUCCAUACCCUCUCCAGCAUUUGUUAUUUGUAGACUUUUUUUUUUGCUUCUUAGGGCCACACCUGCGGGAUGGAGGUUCCCAGGCUAGGGGUCAAAUCAGAGAUGUAGUCACUGGCCUACACCACAACCACAGCAACGCAGAUCCAAGCCGCAUGUGCGACCUACACCACAGCUCACGGCAAUGCUAGAUCCUCAACCCACUGAGCAAGGCCAGGGAUCGAACCUGCAUCCUCAUGGAUGCUAGUCAAAUUAGUUUCCACUGCGCCACGACGGGAACUCCUGUUAUUUGUAGACUUAUUAAUGACAGCCAUUCUGACUGCGUGAGGUUGUACCUCAUUGUAGUUUUGAUUUGCAUUUCGUUAAUAAUUAGUAAUGUUGAGCAUUUUUUUCAUGUGCCUGUUGGCCAUACAUAUGUUUUCUUUGGAGAAAAGUCUUUUCAGGUCUUUUGCCCAUUUUUAAAUUGGGUUGUUUGUUUCUUUGCUGUUGAGUUGUAAGAGUUGUUUGUAUAGUUUGGAGAUUAAGCCCUUGUCAAUUGCAUCAUUUGCAACUAUUGUCUCCCAUUCUGUAGGUUGUCUUUUUGUUUUCUUUUUUAUGGUUUCCUUUGCUUUGAAAAAGCUUAUAAGUUUAUGUCCCAUUGGUUUAUUUUUGUUUUUAUUUCUAUUGCCUUGGGAGACUUACUAAGAAAACAUUUGUAUGGUUGAUGUCAGAGAAUGCUUUGCCUAUGUUCUCUUCUAGGAGAUUUAUGGUGUCUUGUCUUGUAUUUAACAUUUCAUGCAAAAUUUAAAAUCAGACUGUUUAAUAGAAAAACGAAUUUAUUUCACAAAGCUGCAACACUGAAUAAUUAAUUGAUUUAGAGCAUAGCAAGUAUUAUAUUAUGGCAUCUGUUAGUUUAAUUUAAUUCAACUACAGCUAAGCAUUUUAAAUUUCCAAAUAUAUAGAAAAAUUUUUGAAAUACUGAGAGUUCCCAAUUCAGAUUGAGAGAAUUCUAAAGUACAGAUAAAAAACUUCUGUGAUUCAAGGAAGAUUGAAUUAUGCCUAGGUGCUUCCAAAUAUAGGAUUUCCUAGAGGUAAGAAUGUUUUAGAAGUGUUGUAAAGGAUAAUAACACAUAUUAUACUAGAAAAUGCCUAGCAUAUAUACCACAUGACCCAUAAAUAUUUAUAAUUUCUCAUCUUUUUUUUCUUUUUCUUUUUUUUUUUUUUUUUUUUUUUUGUCUUUUUAGGGCCAUACCU